GAUGAAGAACGUAGCGAAAUGCGAUAAGUAAUGUGAAUUGCAGAAUUCAGUGAAUCAUCGAAUCUUUGAACGCACAUUGCGCCCCCUGGUAUUCCGGGGGGCAUGCCUGUCCGAGCGUCAUUACAACCCUCAAGCUCAGCUUGGUAUUGGGCCCCGCCGACCCGGCGGGCCCUAAAGUCAGUGGCGGUGCCGUCCGGCUCCGAGCGUAGUAAUUCUUCUCGCUCUGGAGGUCCGGUCGUGUGCUCGCCAGCAACCCCCAAUUUUUUUCAGGUUGACCUCGGAUCAGGUAGGGAUACCCGCUGAACUUAAGUAUAUCAAUAAGCGGAGGA
rnacentral:misc_RNA from 1 species